rnacentral:rRNA from 1 species
CCUACGGGUGGCAGCAGUGAGGAAUAUUGGUCAAUGGGCGGAAGCCUGAACCAGCCAAGUCGCGUGAGGGAGUAAGGCCCUACGGGUCGUAAACCUCUUUUGCCGGGGAGCAGUGCCCAGCUCGUGAGCUGGGAGGGAGCGUACCCGGAGAAAAAGCAUCGGCUAACUCCGUGCCAGCAGCCGCGGUAAUACGGAGGAUGCGAGCGUUAUCCGGAUUUAUUGGGUUUAAAGGGUGCGUAGGCGGUCCGUUAAGUCAGCGGUAAAAUUGCGGGGCUCAACCCCGUCGAGCCGUUGAAACUGGCAGACUUGAGUUGGCGAGAAGUACGCGGAAUGCGCGGUGUAGCGGUGAAAUGCAUAGAUAUCGCGCAGAACUCCGAUUGCGAAGGCAGCGUACCGGCGCCAGACUGACGCUGAGGCACGAAAGCGUGGGGAUCGAACAGGAUUAGAUACCCUUGUAGUC